rnacentral:rRNA from 1 species
UACGUAGGGUGCGAGCGUUGUCCGGAAUUAUUGGGCGUAAAGAGCUCGUAGGCGGUUUGUUGCGUCUAUCGUGAAAACCUGCGGCUUAACUGUGGGCUUGCGGUGGAUACGGGCAGACUUGAGUUCGGUAGGGGAGACUGGAAUUCCAGGUGUAGCGGUGAAAUGCGUAGAUAUCUGGAGGAACACCGGUGGCGAAGGCGGCGUCCUGGACCAACACUGACACUGAUGAGCGAAAGCCAGGGGAGCAAACGGG